rnacentral:rRNA from 1 species
CCCUUAGAUGUUCUGGGCUGCACGCGCGCUACACUGACACACUCAGCGAGUUCCUGUACCGAGAGGUUCGGGUAAUCAUGUGAGCGUGUGUCGUGAUGGGGAUAGAAUAUUGUAAUUAUUGCUCUUCAACGAGGAAUUCCUAGUAAGCGCAAGUCAGCAGCUUGCGCUGAUUACGUCCCUGCCCUUUGUGCACACCGCCCGUCGCUCCUACCGAUUGGGUGAUCCGGUGAAUGACUCGGACUUUGACGUUCCUAGACACUAGGUUCGUCGAGGGAAGUUUUGUGAACCUUAUCACUUGGAGGAAGGAGAAGUCGUANCA